rnacentral:tRNA from 1 species
CCGGGUGUAGCGCAGUUUGGUAGCGCACAUGGUUUGGGGACCAUGGGGUCGGGAGUUCGAAUCUCUCCACCCGGACCA